rnacentral:rRNA from 1 species
UGGGGAAUAUUGGACAAUGGGCGAAAGCCUGAUCUAGCAACACCGCGUGUGCGAAGAAGGCCUUCGGGUCGUAAAGCACUUUUUGGAAGGAAUAGGAAGGAAUGUACUUCCAGAAUAAGUCUCGGCUAACUACGUGCCAGCAGCCGCGGUAACACGUAGGAGGCAAACGUUAUCCGGAUUUACUGGGCGUAAAGCGCGUGUAGGUGGUACUGUAAGUAGGGCGUGAAAGCUCCUGGCUCAACUGGGAGAGGCCGUUCUAAACUACAGAACUAGAGGAUGGUAGAGGGAGGUGGAAUUCCAGGUGUAGCGGUGGAAUGCGCAGAUAUCUGGAGGAACACCGGUGGCGAAGGCGGCCUCCUGGACCAUUCCUGACACUCAGACGCGAAAGCUAGGGUAGCAAACG